rnacentral:rRNA from 1 species
AGUUCGGAUUGUAGGCUGCAACUCGCCUACAUGAAGUCGGAAUUGCUAGUAAUCGCGGAUCAGCAUGCCGCGGUGAAUACGUUCCCGGGCCUGGUACACACCGCCCGUCACACCAUGGGAGUCGGUAACACCCGAAGCCUGUAGUCUAACCGCAAGGGGGACGCAGUCGAAGGUGGGAUUGAUGACUGGGGUGAAGUCGUAACAAGGUAAC